rnacentral:tRNA from 1 species
GUUUUCGUGGUGUAGUUGGUUAUCACAUCUGCCUAACACGCAGAAGGUCCUCAGUUCGAACCUGGGCGAAAACA